UACGUAGGGGGCAAGCGUUGUCCGGAAUCAUUGGGCGUAAAGCGCGUGUAGGCGGCUCGAUAAGUCUGCUGUGAAAGUCCAAGGCUCAACCUUGGGAUGCCGGUGGAUACUGUCGAGCUCGAGUCCGGAAGAGGAGUGUGGAAUUCCUGGUGUAGCGGUGAAAUGCGCAGAUAUCAGGAGGAACACCGGUGGCGAAGGCGGGUCUCUGGGC
rnacentral:rRNA from 1 species